GCUUUGGCUCAAGGGUCUUCUGUACAGGAGUUGGGGAGGGUCAAGUCCUGUAGCACACUGUUUCUGUGCUCAAGCAGAAUUUGUGGGCUUCUGGGGGAGGGGAGGCCCCCUGAAAGCAGAGAAGGGAAACUCAGUGAUUGGUCUCCAAGUGGGAGCUGACAGUUUCUGAAUAGCUCCUGACACAAAGGACUAGGAACUUGGGCCUUUUUUGCAUUUCAAAGCCCUGCCUGCAGGCGAUCAGGUUACAGGAGGUGAAGAGGCAGUGUGGUGUCUUUACCGACAUUUUCUCCUACUUGUGCUGUGUUUUCUCCACAAAGAUCUUCUGAGAAAGAAAUCUUGAAGAGGAGGUGAAAGAAAAAAUGGCCAGUUCUCAGGGACUGCUGACAUUCGAGGAUGUGGCCAUAGAAUUCUCUCAGGAAGAGUUAAUAUACCUGAACUACAGUCAACGCGAACUAUACAGGGAUGUGAUGUUAGAGAACUACGGACACCUCCUUUUCUUAGGUCUUGUUGUGUCAAAGCCAGACCUGGUCAACUUUUUGGAACACAAGAAGGGUGUCUGGGCCGUGGAGAGAAAGGAGACAGUAGCUAUACACCCAGGUAGGUGGGAAUGAAGUGGAUGACAGAGGUGAGGUCCAGUCGUGAAGGAGGAAUUAGACCUCAGAAUGUGGUUGAGCAGCUCUCCUUGAAUGGAAAUUAGGUUGAAAAGGCCAGUUUCAGGGCUCUUCCUCUCACAUGGGACAUCUGCUUUCCAACAUACCAUGCUUUCCAUUCUCUAAGGAUUCUCCUUCAGUUUCACUGAAGGUUCUUCACAUCCACAGUGAGGUCCUCCAUAAUCUGAUUGGUUCUCCCUUUGCUUUGAGGUCUUGGGGAAAUGUCUGCCUUUCUGAGGAACUGUACGCUAAUCCAUUUCUGAGUUCUGUUUUGCUUCUUGUGUGAAGUGUGUCAGGGUAGUGGUGGGCAUCUUGGGAUUUGGUGCAGAAAUCCCAGGAAGGCUGGAGUGAGACAUUACAAGUUUUCUGGUUUAUCCUUUCAGUAUUACAGAGGCUUUAAACUUAAUCAUACAAAAUAGAGAUCCAGUGAUUUCAUCAAGUAACAAAGCAACUCACUAAAGUGAGAAAAUCUCGUCCUUUGUUUCACCUCAAAAGUUCAUUUCUUGGGUUGCCUGGUUGGCUCAGUUGGUUAAGCAUCUGGGUUGAGCUCAAGCCAUGAUCUCAGUUUGUGAGUUUGAGCCCUGCAUCAGGCUCUCUGCUGUCAGUGAAGAGCCCAUUUGGGAUCCUCUGACUCUUCCCCUCUCCCACGUGCUCUCUUUUCCUCAAAGGCAAAAUAUAAAAAAAAAAAAAAAGUUCAGGAUGCCUGCAUGGCUCAGUUGGUUAAGAAUUUGACUCUUGAUUUUGGUUUAACUCAUAUCUCAGGGUUUCUUAGUUCAAGCCUCUCAUAGGGCUCUGGGUUGACAGCAUAGAUACCAUUUGGUUUCUGUCUCCCUCUUUCCCUCCCUCCAUCCCUCUGUCUCUCUCUCUCUCUCUGCCAUCCCUUACUUGCUCUUUGCCCUUCCUUCAAAUAAAUAAAUAAAUAAAAGUUUUAAGGUUCAUUUUCUUUGUAUUAACUAAACUAAGAAAUUUCCACUCAAUG